rnacentral:rRNA from 1 species
UACGAAGGGGGCUAGCGUUGCUCGGAAUCACUGGGCGUAAAGCGCACGUAGGCGGCUUGUUAAGUCAGGGGUGAAAUCCCGGGGCUCAACCCCGGAACUGCCUUUGAUACUGAUAGUCUCGAGUCCGGAAGAGGUGAGUGGAAUUCCGAGUGUAGAGGUGAAAUUCGUAGAUAUUCGGAGGAACACCAGUGGCGAAGGCGGCUCACUGGUCCGGUACUGACGCUGAGGUGCGAAAGCGUGGGGAGCAAACAGG